UUUAACAGGGAAGGAGACCUGCUGCUGCUCAUCUGAGUACUGGUCUGGAUUCUCUUAUUUCUGAUGGGUUGUUGUCUGUUCCUCAAGGCAAUCCUCCUGCUAGACAUCACUCUGUUGCAAGAAUAGAUGGCCAGAGCUCUGUGAUACCAGGGUUGAGCAGACAAGAUUAUGACCAGUUGAUGAACUUGUUACACCAGACCAAGUUAGGGGNNNN
rnacentral:lncRNA from 1 species